UUUUUUAUUUUUAUUGAAGGGCCCCGGUAUUUUAACCGUGCGAAGGUARCGUAAUCMUUAGUUUUUUUAUUAAAAGCUUGUAUGAAUGGUUGGACGAGAUAAUUACUGUCUCAGUAAUAAUUUAAUUGAAUUUAAUUUUUGAGUUAAAAAGCUUAAAUAUUUUUUAAAGACGAGAAGACCCUAUAAAUCUUGAUAAUUAAAAUUAAAAAAGAAUUUAUAGAAAUGAAAAUUAAUUUUUUAUUUUUUUUUUAUUUUUAUAUUAUUGUAUUGGGGUGAUAUUAAAAUUUAAUUAACUUUUAUUUAUUAAAACUAUUUAUUUAUAAAAAAUUUGAUCCAAUAUUAUUGAUUAAAAGAUUAAGUUACUUUAGGGAUAACAGCGUAAUUUUUUUAAAGAGUUCUUAUCGAUAAAAAAGAUUGCGACCUCGAUGUUGGAUUAAAAAUUAAUUUUGGCGCAAAAGUUAAAAAUAUUAAGUCUGUUCGACUUUUAAAUCUUUACA
rnacentral:rRNA from 1 species